rnacentral:rRNA from 1 species
GAGACAGCAGCCGCCACGGGAAUACGGAGGGUGCAAGCGUUAAUCGGAAUUACUGGGCGUAAAGCGCACGCAGGCGGUCUGUCAAGUCGGAUGUGAAAUCCCCGGGCUCAACCUGGGAACUGCAUUCGAAACUGGCAGGCUAGAGUCUUGUAGAGGGGGGUAGAAUUCCAGGUGUAGCGGUGAAAUGCGUAGAGAUCUGGAGGAAUACCGGUGGCGAAGGCGGCCCCCUGGACAAAGACUGACGCUCAGGUGCGAAAGCGUGGGGAGCAAACAGGAUUAGAUACCCGCGUAGUCCCUGUCUCUUAUAC